rnacentral:rRNA from 1 species
AAAUCAGGUAGGAGUACCCGCUGAACUUAAGCAUAUCAAUAAGCGGAGGAAAAGAAACCAACCGGGAUUGCCUUAGUAACGGCGAGUGAAGCGGCAAAAGCUCAAAUUUGAAAUCUGGUACCUUCGGUGCCCGAGUUGUAAUUUGGAGAGGGCAACUUUGGGGCCGUUCCUUGUCUAUGUUCCUUGGAACAGGACGUCAUAGAGGGUGAGAAUCCCGUGUGGCGAGGAGUGCGGUUCUUUGUAAAGUGCCUUCGAAGAGUCGAGUUGUUUGGGAAUGCAGCUCUAAGUGGGUGGUAAAUUCCAUCUAAAGCUAAAUAUUGGCGAGAGACCGAUAGCGAACAAGUACAGUGAUGGAAAGAUGAAAAGAAC